AUUGAACGCUGGCGGCAGGCCUAACACAUGCAAGUCGAGCGGAUGAGUGGAGCUUGCUCCAUGAUUCAGCGGCGGACGGGUGAGUAAUGCCUAGGAAUCUGCCUGGUAGUGGGGGACAACGUUUCGAAAGGAACGCUAAUAACGCAUACGUCCUACGGGAGAAAGCAGGGGACCUUCGGGCCUUGCGCUAUCAGAUGCUCCUAGGUCGGAUUAGCUAGUAGGUGAGGUAAUGGCUCACGUGGGCGACGAUCCGUAACUGGUCUGAGAGGAUGAUCAGUCACACUGGAACUGAGACACGGUCCAGACUCCUACGGGAGGCAGCAGUGGGGAAUAUUGGACAAUGGGCGAAAGCCUGAUCCAGCCAUGCCGCGUGUGUGAAGAAGGUCUUCGGAUUGUAAAGCACUUUAAGUUGGGAGGAAGGGCAGUAAGUUAAUACCUUGCUGUUUUGACGUUACCAACAGAAUAAGCACCGGCUAACUUCGUGCCAGCCGCCGCAGUAAUAC
rnacentral:rRNA from 1 species